rnacentral:misc_RNA from 1 species
GUUUUUACGUUUGAGGCCUCGUGGCGCACAUGGUCCGCCAUGUCGCGCGCGGCCGGGAACGAAACUCUGGGAGUCGUUAUUGACAGUGGAACAGUGGUGAUUCCUACGAUUAAGAAACCUGUUUGCAAAAGGGCCUGCCCACGCGGGUCAUCUUAUUUAUCAGGUGGGAAAUUCGGUGGAACACAGUGGAGCCUUGCCUUCCGGGCCAUUGUCUCUGGCAGUGGCCCCUGCUCGUGAGAGAAGAAACUUGCUGGGGAACCAGUCUUUACCGACCGUUGCUAUCAGAAAUUGAACGGGGCCCGGUCCCGCCGGGCCUCGAUGGGAACGGCAACGGUUGUUCCGUUUGACUUGUCGCCCGCCACGGCGCGCUGCAAGGUCUGUUGAGUGCAAUCGUAGGACGCCAUUCGUGGCGAACCCGAUACCGAUUACUGCUGCUGCUCCAUCCCAAUUCCGACUUUCCUU